rnacentral:rRNA from 1 species
GAUGAACGCUGGCGGCGUGCCUAAUACAUGCAAGUCGAGCGAACGGACGAGAAGCUUGCUUCUCUGAUGUUAGCGGCGGACGGGUGAGUAACACGUGGAUAACCUACCUAUAAGACUGGGAUAACUUCGGGAAACCGGAGCUAAUACCGGAUAAUAUUUUGAACCGCAUGGUUCAAAAGUGAAAGACGGUCUUGCUGUCACUCAUAGAUGGAUCCGCGCUGCAUUAGCUAGUUGGUAAGGUAACGGCUUACCAAGGCAACGAUGCCUAGCCGACCAGAGAGGGUGGUCGCCCACACUGGAAGUGAGACACGGUCCAGACUCCCACGUGAAGCAGCAGUAGGGAAUCUUCCGCGAUGGGCGAAAGCCUGACGGAGCAACGCCGCGUGAGUGAUGAAGGUCUUCGGAUCGUAAAACUCUGUUAUUAGGGAAGAACAUAUGUGUAAGUAACUGUGCACAUCUUGACGGUACCUAAUCAGAAAGCCACGGCUAACUACGUG